ensembl:ncRNA C34E11.12 ncRNA
CGAAAUGCCGUUUUGCUUAUGCUUCACAUAAUUUGGAAGCGUUUCAAGUGAAUAGAUGAGAGGAGCAUAUGAUGAGAGGAUGGUGUCC